CCCUCUGGCUGUCAUGCUGUGCAGGAACCUACUCUUUUCAUCUGCCUCUGUUUCCUGCACAGGAAUCCCUAGAACCCUUUACCCCCACCCCAUCCUUAUCCUAUUUUUCAUCCUCUGGUCUUCCAGGGCAGUCUGGUCAACGAUCAGCACAGCAGUUUUCUGUUUGGCCCAUAUGUGGUUUAACAGUGCCACCAACUCAAAGAAUGACUUUCUAGUUGCCAGAAAGAAGCCCCUCAGACUCCUCUCCAGUUUGGUACAAACCACCUAGAGAAUGAGACUGAGGAAUCCCAAACUCUAGUGACAUUGAGGUACUUCUAGUAGUGAUGUUUCUGUUAAGACAGAACCCAAACUGGCUGGGCGAGCCAGUGUCCCAAUGCCCAGGUGACAGGCAUUGCUCCUUUGUCAGAAAGAAGGCUUCUGGCAGGAGGUUCCUAAGUGUACCAUGUGCUGGGAAUUUUUACUAUCACAUUUAAUCCCUCUAAAAAUCCUGUGAGGUCAGUAUUUUCCCUUUCAUAGAUGUGGGAAUGAAGACUCAAAAGCCUUCGGCUUGCCUUGAGUCACCAGGUUGGUCUGAUUUCUGAGCCCUGCUGGAACAGCCAGGCAGCGCACCUUAGAGACUGGGGCUGGUUCGGUGGACCAGCUCUGGGACACUGUUGUGAGAGGAAGUGGGAAGUGAGGAGAAGGGUGGGCCCUGGCAGUGACUGUAAUCUGCUUUGAUGGCAGGGAUAGCUUGCUCAAAGCAGGAUGGGAGUGGGCAGAAGCUGGGUGAUUUCUCAGUAGGGCAGAUACUUCCGGAAUGAGAGGGAAGGAGCGUUCAUUCACACCUACAGCCAGGGGGAGGGUGGGGAAUGCCUGUCCCACACACCUGAGAGGGCUCCCGGGCCAGGCCAACAGUCCCACUUACGCAACCCUGAUUUGUCCAUAUUUUAUGCCAGGCCUGCCGGAGUAGUGCUCAGGAGUGUGGUUCAGAUCCUGAGCUUUUUAGAAUUCCUGAGGGAGAGAACAGUGAGGUCAGCCACACGGAUGCGGGAUUUUAGUUCCUGGACUAGGGAUCGAACCCAUGCCCCCUGCAGUGGAAGCAUGGAGUCUUAACCACUGGACCACCAAGGAAGUCCCCAUUGUGUUCAUUUUUUAAAGGAAGGUGUAAAUGUGAGGGUAAUUCAUAACAAGUGACAACUUUUAAAGAAAUGACUUUAAACAACUUGAUAUGUUGCUGUUGUCAGUAGACAGAACUUUUAGCCCCAAAAUAAGAUGCAACCUGACUUUUAAGGCAGGGGCAAGGAUGUGCCAAACUCUGAGAUCAAAAGUAAGCUUUAAUUCAAACACUGUGGAUGCCAUUAGAAACUUUCCUAAAAAUAAAUCCAUCCUGCUGCAUGAUUUAGAAAUGGCUUAGGAUACCAUCUUUUCCAUCCUUAAGAAGCAAAAACCCCAAAAUGUCAUCAAUGAAAAAUUUAAAAAAAUCAAAUCUGUGAGCAAACAGGAAUGCGGUGGGCCAAUUAAUGGCAAUGAAGAUGAUGACAAUAAUGGUGGUAAUAAUAAUGACAGGAAGCAGGUAUUGAGGGCUUACUAGGUGCCAGACACUCUUCUAAGGGCUUUACAUGAUCCCUGUAGUAGCCCAGGAAGAUAAGACCUAUUAUUAUCCCUGUUUUACAGACAAACAAACAAAGGCUUGGAGAAGUUAAGUAACUAACUUGCCUAAGGUUAUAUAGUUUAGCAGCGGCUUUCAAAACUUUGGUGUGGGGACUUCCCUGGUGGCACAGUGGUUAAGAAUCCACCUGCUAAGCAUAUCCAAAGGAGGACCUCUGGAGUAUGGAGUUCUGGAGUUUGGAGGAUCAUAUGUUCCAGCAGAAUAUGCUUCCUUCAGAAUUGCUGAACAGAUUUUUACAAGAAUAAGUACUGAUGAUGAUAUUGAAACAAAUUCAUCAACAUUUAUGAAGGAAAUGAAAGAGCCAUCAUUUAUUAGAUGAGAAAAUGAGUCACCAUAAUAAUGAUGAAUGAAAAUACUGCUCGUUAUAAAGUCAAGGAAGCUACCCUGUGAAACUGGGCUAUCAUUCCGCGGUGUUGUUGAGUUUUCCCUUCUAAAUUCAGGGUAUAGGUUAUUACAAGAUAUUGAGGGACUACCCUGGUGGCGCAGUGGUUAAGAAUCUGCUGCCAAUUGGGCUUCCCUGGUGGCGCAGUGGUUGAGAGUCCGCCUGCCGAUGCAGGGGACGCGGAUUUGUGCCCCAGUCUGGGAAGAUCCCACAUGCUGCAGAGCGGCUGGGCCCGUGAGCCAUGGCCGCUGGGCCUGUGCGUCCGGAGCCUGUGCUCUGCAACGGGAGAGGCCACAGCAGUGAGAGGCCCGCGUAAUGCAAAAAAAAAAAAAAAAAGAAUCUGCCUGCCAAUGCAGGGGACACGGGUUCCAGCCCUGGUCCGGGAAGAUCCCACAUGCCGCAGAGCAACUAAGCCCGUGUGCCACAACUACUGAGCCUGCACUCUAGAGCCCACGGGCUGCAACUACUGACCCUGUGUGCCACAACUACUGAAGCCCCUACGCCUAGAGCCUGUGCUCUGCAACUAGAGAAGCCACUGCAAUGAGAAACGCGCUCGCCCCAACUGGAAAAAGCCCACACGCAGCAACGAAGACCCAACGCACCCCAAAAAAAUUUUUUAAUAAAUUAAGUUAAAAAAAGAAGCAAACUUUGGUGUGCUUACAGUUCCCCAGAAAAAUAAUUUAAAUCAAUAUUCCCAGCCCAACACCAUAGAUUUUGAUUCAGAAGUGUGGGACAGGACCUGAAAAAAUGCAUUUUUAAUAAAUAACCAAGGAACAUUUACUGUAGGUGACCUUCAGACCACCCUCUGGGAAUCAGUGACCCAGUUCUAGAAAAAAGGAGAGACUAGGAGUAAAAAUUUGCCAAUGUUUCUCCAGCACUGGCCUUCCCUGUCCAGCUGAAUAGUAGAUCAUUUGCCCACCCAAGACUGUAUGUCCUUGCAAUGAAAAGAAAGACUGCUUAAUGCAUAUAGCCUUUCCAGACAUCGAACUUGAUUUGUUCAACUUCCAUAUUUAACAGUUAACCAUCUGACUUUAAUCUGAUUUCUUAAAUAUGUUUUCCUACCAGCCAGAGUGUGUGCUGACCAAAAACAUGAAUUUCAGUCAGUAGUUGUAACUCUCUCGGGUAAUGAAUAAAUGGCAUUGUACUUUAUUAGUCUACUAUAAAUCUGAUUAAUGUGAAUCAAUUCCCCAGAGCCAGCUCUCUCCCGAAAGAACUGAGAACAAUGACUUUAUGAACCUGCAAACUUCAGGGCCAAUGUACAUUUGGAGGCCUGAUUUAUCCUUUCCUUAGUAUCACUGAGCUGGAAGACACAUUUUGAGACCCAGAAUCCUGACAUCUCCAUCCCUCCAAAGGGGGCAAACCUGGAAGAGUAGAGAUGCAGAGAAACCUACACCUCCAUCGCCUUAAAACAGAUUAAAAGACUGAUGGGAGCUUGUGACCCUAGGUAGUGGAACCACCCUGUGCUCACUGGCCUGGGAGCACUGUGCACGGCAGCCGUGGUACAUAAUCGAAAUAGUGUGGCAAUCCCUACAGCUGAAUUGAAUCCCUUGGAGGUGACCCGAGUCUUCCUCAUCCAAGUUUACUUCUCGCCCACACAGAGCAUGUGAUAAGGAGCCUCCGUUCCGUAGGCUGCCUGGCGGGCUGGCUGAAUGAAGACAUCAAUCGGAAGAAGUGGGGCAGGUAUGCUGUUCCCUUUGUACAGAAGCAGAAAUUGAAACCAGCAGAAACCUGGGACUGGGAACCCUUUCCCAAGGAACUCCUGUUCUUGAAAGCAGACGCAUUUUCCUGCCACUGCCCCAGGACUGAACCACACGCUGUCACAGAGCAUCUUGUAUUUUUGAAAGAGUUCGUCUCUUGGCCAGGCCGUGACAUGCACA